rnacentral:lncRNA from 10 species
UGCGGUGAGCCCGAGGCAGACGGCACGGGGAGGCGCGGCGGUUACCUCUCCGGGAGGCGCGGCGGUUACCUCUCCGGGAGGCGCGGCGGUUACCUCUCCGGGCCCCGCGAUCCUUUCGCAGGGGUGCAGGUGCUGUGCAGGGAGGAGUCUUAGGGCGUUUUUACUGUCUUACUGCCCUCUAAGCACGGGACCCUUUGGAUCAUUUACUAGAUUGGCUAAACUAGAACCGGAUGGAAAUAUUCUGUACUAUGGUCCCCUUAAUUACAUUUAAGAAUACUUGUCAGGCCAUAUAUCACAGGUUUUUAAUUAGAAAAGUAUCCUCCUCUCGCCAGUAAGGACUUGCAGAGAUGGGGGUGGGGGCUGGAUGGAGGGUGGCACUUUUUUGGCAAAAAGAAGUUUGGAGCAGAGUGUCACUAGUGGCCUCUCUGAAGACUGGUCCUCGUCUUUUAAAACCGAUGGCUGGAAUUUCUUCCAGUUCCAAACCUCUUGUUAUUUGUCCUCUCUUCUUGUUCACAAAUGUGCUAUCAACAUUCAAACAAUGGAUAGUCAGCUAUCCAUUGUAAAUGGACCUUGCUGGAGUCCAGGGCUAGCAGAAAUGACAGGGUCUAAAAUGACAUUUAUCAAGUACUUGCUAUAUGCUUAUAUAUGCUUUUUAUAUGAAGGUUAAGAAGCUUGAGGCAUUUGCCCAGUUUCCACAACCAAAAGGGGCAGAGUCGCCAGUGGCAUUAAGCCUGUGUUACUCCAAAGCCCAUAAUGACCAGUCUUACUAGACCAUUCCUCUCAGGAAAGAUCCUGUGAGACAGGUACUCUUUUGGUGUCCUGUCUCCCAGCCUCUCAAAACAGCCAAACACGGACCUUAGACAGAAUGCGGCUUCAGAGGUAGAAGGGUCUUGGUUUCACCUUCAGGAAACCUCCUGGGUUUCAGUUGAGCUGGCAGAAGAAGAUCAUGUAUCUGAAAGACCCUGCAUGGAAUGUUAAUCCUCACACCACUCUCCUGCUGGUGCUCCUUUGUAAACAGAGUUGGC